GACGAACGCUGGCGGCGUGCUUAACACAUGCAAGUCGAACGGAAAGGCCCUGCUUUUGUGGGGUGCUCGAGUGGCGAACGGGUGAGUAACACGUGAGUAACCUGCCCUUGACUUUGGGAUAACUUCAUGAAACUUGGGCUAAUACCGGAUAGGAGUUCCUGCUUCAUGGUGGGGGUUGGAAAGUUUCGGCGGUUGGGGAUGGACUCGCGUCUUAUCAGCUUGUUGGUUGGGUAGUGGCUUACCAAGGCUUUGACGGGUAGCCGGCCUGGGAGGGUGACAGGCCAAAUUGGGACUGAGCUGAGGCCCAGACUCCUACGGGAGGCAGCAGUGGGGAAUAUUGCACAAUGGGAGGAGGCCUGAUGCAGCAACGCCGCGUGGGGGAUGACGGCCUUCGGUUUGUAAACCGAUUUCGCCUGUGACGAAGCGUGAGUGACGGUAAUGGGUAAAGAAGCACCGGCUAACUACGUG
rnacentral:rRNA from 1 species